GACCGUGCUAAGGUAGCAUAAUCAUUUGCCUCUUAAUUAGAGGCUAGUAUGAAUGGACAAACGUGAGUCAAGCUGUCUCUUCUCUAUAAAUAAAAAUUAAUCUUUAGGUGAAAAAGCCUAAAUACUAUAAAAAGACAAAAAGACCCUAUUGAGUUUUAUUACAUAAGCUUUAACC
rnacentral:rRNA from 1 species